rnacentral:sRNA from 12 species
ACUGCCGCCGGACGGAACCGGUCACGAGGGUUGGGGAGCCCGAUGACUGGCAGGUCUCCGAGUCUGGAACGGGUCUUAGGGAGCCCGGACCAGAGCGCUCUGGCGAAGGAG